AGUGGGAUAACUGGGUCAAAUGGUGGUUCCAUUCCAAGUUUUCUGAGGAAUCUCAUACUAUUUUCUAGAGUGGUUACACCAAUUUACAAUCCCACCAGCAAU
rnacentral:pre_miRNA from 1 species